rnacentral:rRNA from 1 species
GGAGCCGUAGCGAAAGCGAGUUUUAACUGAGCGUUCAGUUACUUGACGUAGACCCGAAACCGGGCGACCUACCCAUGAGCAGGAUGAAGCGAAAGUAAAAUUUCGUGGAGGUCCGAACCCACGAGCGUUGAAAAGCUCGGGGAUGACUUGUGGGUAGCGGUGAAAUUCCAAUCGAGCCCGGAGAUAGCUGGUUCUCCCCGAAAUAGCUUUAGGGCUAGCCUCAAGGUGAGAGAUACGGAGGUAGAGCACUGAAUGUCCUAGGGGGUAUUGCACCUACCGAAGACUAUCAAACUCCGAAUGCCGUCAUCUUAUACUUGGGAGUCAGACUGUGGGUGAUAAGAUUCAUAGUCGAAAGGGCAACAGCCCAGAUCGUCAGCUAAGGUCCCUAAAUGUAAGUUAAGUGGUAAAGGAUGUGGGAUUGCACAGACAACCAGGAUGUUGGCUUAGAAGCAGCCACUCAUUCAAAGAGUGCGUAAUAGCUCACUGGUCGAGUGAUCCUGCGCCGAAGAUUUCCGGGGCUAAAACUUACUACCGAAGCUACGGCAUCAGUAAUGAUGGGUAGGGGAGCUUCCCAUACGGGUUGAAGCAUGACCGUAAGGACAUGUGGACAGUAUGGGAGUGAGAAUGUUGGCAUGAGUAGCGAGAUGUGGGUGAGAAUCCCACAGGCCGUAAACCCAAGGUUUCCAGGGGAAGGUUCGUCCGCCCUGGGUUAGUCGGGACCUAAGCUGAGGCCGAAAGGCGUAGGUGAUGGACAACAGGUUGAUAUUCCUGUACUACCGAUAACCGUUUGAGAGAAGGGAUGACACAGUAGGAUAAGCUAAG